AUUGAACGCUGGCGGCAGGCCUAACACAUGCAAGUCGAGCGGAGCGGCAGACGGGUUAGUAAUGCCUAGGAAUCUGCCUGGUAGUGGGGGAUACCGUACGGAAACGGGCGCUAAUACCGCAUACUGUCAUAUGAUCCUAGGUCGGAUUAGCUAGUUGGUGGGUUAAAGGCCUACCAAGGCGACGAUCCGUAACUGGUCUGAGAGGAUGAUCAGUCAAACUGGAACUGAGACACGGGCCAGACUCCUACGGGAGGCAGCAGUGGGGAAUAUUGGACAAUGGGCGAAAGCCUGAUCCAGCCAUGCCGCGUGUGUGAAGAAGGUCUUCGGAUUGUAAAGCACUUUAAGUUGGGAGGCGUUACCAACAGAAUAAGCACCGGCUAACUUCGUGCCAGCAGCCGCGGUAAUUC
rnacentral:rRNA from 1 species